AUUCCAGCUCCAAUAGCGUACAUUAAAGUUGUUGCAGUUAAAAAGCUCGUAGUUGGAUUUCUGGUGUCGCAGUGCUUCCGCGUGUUUAAUUACAUGUCGAGUUGUGUUUGCGUCGCCAUCUUUUAGCAGCACCUUCCUGGCAUUAGGUUGUUGGGUUGGUAAUGCUAAUCGUUUACUGUGAAGAAAUUAGAGUGUUCAAAGCAGGCUUAUGCCGUUGAAUACGUUAGCAUGGAAUAAUGAGAUAGGACCUUGAUACUAUUUUGUUGGUUUGCACACCAAGGUAAUGAUUAAUAGGGACAGUUGGGGGUAUCCGUAUUUCGUAGUCAGAGGUGAAAUUCUUGGACUUACGAAAGACGAACUACUGCGAAAGCAUUUACCAAGGAUGUUUUCAUCA
rnacentral:rRNA from 1 species